AACUGACGCUGAGGCUCGAAAGCAUGGGUAGCGAACAGAUUAGAUACCUGGUAGUCCAUGCCGUAAACGAUGAGUGCUAAGUGUUGGAGGGUUCCGCCUUUCAGUGCUGCAGCUAACGCAUUAAGCACUCCGCUGGGGAGUACGACCGCAAGGUUGAAACUCAAAGGAAUUGACGGGGGCCCGCACAAGCGGUGGAGCAUGUGGUUUAAUUCGAAGCUACGCGAAGAACCUUACCAGGUCUUGACAUCUUCUGCCAAUCUUAGAGAUAAGACGUUCCCUUCGGGGACAGAAUGACAGGUGGUGCAUGGUUGUCGUCAGCUCGUGUCGUGAGAUGUUGGGUUAAGUCCCGCAACGAGCGCAACCCUUAUUAUCAGUUGCCAGCAUUCAGUUGGGCACUCUGGUGAGACUGCCGGUGACAAACCGGAGGAAGGUGGGGAUGACGUCAAAUCAUCAUGCCCCUUAUGACCUGGGCUACACACGUGCUACAAUGGACGGUACAACGGGUCGCGAAGUCGUGAGGCUAAGCUAGUCUCUUAAAGCCGUUCUCAGUUCGGAUUGUAGGCUGCAACUCGCCUACAUGAAGUUGGAAUCGCUAGUAAUCGCGGAUCAGCAUGCCGCGGUGAAUACGUUCCCGGGCCUUGUACACACCGCCCGUCACACCAUGAGAGUUUGUAACACCCAAAGCCGGUGAGAUAACCUUCGGGAGUCAGCCGUCUAAGGUGGGACAGAUGAUUAGGGUGAAGUCGUAACAAGGUAACCA
rnacentral:rRNA from 1 species